rnacentral:rRNA from 1 species
GGUUAAGCGACUAAGCGUACACGGUGGAUGCCCUGGCAGUCAGAGGCGAUGAAGGACGUGCUAAUCUGCGAUAAGCGUCGGUAAGGUGAUAUGAACCGUUAUAACCGGCGAUUUCCGAAUGGGGAAACCCAGUGUGUUUCGACACACUAUCAUUAACUGAAUCCAUAGGUUAAUGAGGCGAACCGGGGGAACUGAAACAUCUAAGUACCCCGAGGAAAAGAAAUCAACCGAGAUUCCCCCAGUAGCGGCGAGCGAACGGGGAGCAGCCCAGAGCCUGAAUCAGUGUGUGUGUUAGUGGAAGCGUCUGGAAAGGCGCGCGAUACAGGGUGACAGCCCCGUACACAAAAAUGCACAUGCUGUGAGCUCGAUGAGUAGGGCGGGACACGUGGUAUCCUGUCU